ACUACGGGUGGCAGCAGUGGGGAAUAUUGCACAAUGGGCGCAAGCCUGAUGCAGCCAUGCCGCGUGUGUGAAGAAGGCCUUCGGGUUGUAAAGCACUUUCAGCGGGGAAGAAGGCGUUAAGGUUAAUAACCUUGGCGAUUGACGUUACCCGCAGAAGAAGCACCGGCUAACUCCGUGCCAGCAGCCGCGGUAAUACGGAGGGUGCAAGCGUUAAUCGGAAUUACUGGGCGUAAAGCGCACGCAGGCGGUCUGUCAAGUCGGAUGUGAAAUCCCCGGGCUCAACCUGGGAACUGCAUUCGAAACUGGCAGGCUAGAGUCUUGUAGAGGGGGGUAGGAUUCCAGGUGUAGCGGUGAAACGCGUAGAGAUCUGGAGGAAUACCGGUGGCGAAGGCGGCCCCCUGGACAAAGACUGACGCUCAGGUGCGAAAGCGUGGGGAGCAGACAGGAUUAGAUACCCGUGUAGUC
rnacentral:rRNA from 1 species